GACUACUGGCAGGAUCAACCAGAUAGCAUCAUCGAGCGAAGCCGGCACGGCCCCGGCCGAGCCGAAGCUCGGGACGGGAGUCCGAUUCGACCGUCGUCCGCAAUAACGCUUGUUUGUGGUGCUGCGAGGCCGGGGCCCCGUACCCACUUGAUUUUCCGCACCCGAGAUGCCGAGCGUUCCGUCGUGGUUCAUCGACCCAUAGCCGUUUCACGGGCAAACGGGGCGCGAGACACGACGGGCGCUUUUCGGCCCACCCCGCGCCGCCCGCCCGCAAGGAGCAGCAGCGCGGGGCGGGAAUGGGACGAUGUAGCCGACAGAAUGCCCUCACGAUAGGUAUUCAGCACAGGAAACCCGACGUCGUCCGAGCGAGAGCUCGUGCCAACAACCGACGAGGCGCGGACGGCACGUUGUCGCUGCCAGAGCAGGGAUCCAACAUGCCGUUGCGCGCCAACCACCACUC
rnacentral:misc_RNA from 1 species